GACGAACGCUGGCGGCGUGCUUAACACAUGCAAGUCGAACGAAGAGCGAUGGACGCUUGCUUCUAUCACUCUUAGUGGCGAACGGGUGAUUAACGCGUAAUCAACCUGCCCUUCAGAGGGGGACAACAGUUGGAAACGACUUCUAAUACCGCAUCCGAUCUAAUCUCGGCAUCGAGGAAAUUUGAAGGUUGGCUUUUUUUUUUAGCCUUUCCCUCAAGUUGGUGAUUGCGUCUGAUUAGCUAGUUGGAGGGGUAACGGCCCACCAAGGCGAUGAUCAGUAGACGGUCUGAGAGGAUGAACGGCCACAGUGGGACGGAGACACGGCCCAGACGACUACGGGAGGCAGCAGUGGGGAAUCUUCCGCAAUGGACGAAAGGCUGACGGAGCAACGCCGAGUGAGUGAUGACGGCCGUCGGGUUGUAAAGAUCGGUUAAUCGGGACGAAAGGCCUUCUUGCGAAAAGUUAGAAGGAUUGACGGUACCGGAAUAGAAAGCCACGGCUAACUACGUG
rnacentral:rRNA from 1 species